CCUACGGGAGGCAGCAGUGAGGAAUAUUGGUCAAUGGACGAGAGUCUGAACCAGCCAAGUAGCGUGAAGGAUGACUGCCCUAUGGGUUGUAAACUUCUUUUAUAAAGGAAUAAAACGAGGCACGUGUGCCUUUUUGCAUGUACUUUAUGAAUAAGGAUCGGCUAACUCCGUGCCAGCAGCCGCGGUAAUACGGAGGAUCCGAGCGUUAUCCGGAUUUAUUGGGUUUAAAGGGAGCGUAGAUGGGUUGUUAAGUCAGUUGUGAAAGUUUGCGGCUCAACCGUAAAAUUGCAAUUGAUACUGGCAGUCGUGAGUACAGUAGAGGUAGGCGGAAUUCGUGGUGUAGCGGUGAAAUGCUUAGAUAUCACGAAGAACCCCGAUUGCGAAGGCAGCUUACUAGACUGUGACUGACAUUGAUGCUCGAAAGUGUGGGUAUCAAACAGGAUUAGAUACCCUGGUAGUC
rnacentral:rRNA from 1 species